AAGCGUUAUCCGGAAUUAUUGGGCGUAAAGAGUGCGUAGGUGGUUCUGUAAGCGCGGGGUGAAAGGCAAUAGCUCAACUAUUGUAAGCCUUGCGAACUGCUGGACUUGAGUGCAGGAGAGGAAAGCGGAAUUCCUAGUGUAGCGGUGAAAUGCGUAGAUAUUAGGAGGAACACCAGUGGCGAAGGCGGCUUUCUGGACUGUAACUGACACUGAGGCACGAAAGCGUGGGGAGCAAACAGGAUUAGAUACCAGGC
rnacentral:rRNA from 1 species